UAAUAAAGAAAGAAAAGAAAUGUAUUUGAUAUUAGAGAGUGGUUUGUGGUGAAUGAAGGAAGGUUUGGUGGGUAUUUAUAGGAAAAAAUUUGGAAGUUGGAAAAGAUGUGGUUGAAAAGUGAAUAAAUGUGGGUUAAUGGGGAUGAAUGGGGAAGGUAAAAAGUUGAAAGGGUGUAACGUUCGUCUCCAACGGCUAUGUAACGUUCACCUAGUCAGAAAGGUGUUACGCUCGUCACAGGCUCGUGACGGGCGUAACAGGUACUUGGCGUGCCGUCCGUCAUAGAUAGUGUGACGCUCGUCACACAGUCUUUUUGGCAUGGCUUCAGCUAGCGUUCUUCAGAAUAACUUUGGUAAUUUUUUUUAUUUUUU
rnacentral:lncRNA from 1 species